rnacentral:rRNA from 1 species
AGUGAACGCUGGCGGUAGGCCUAACACAUGCAAGUCGAACGGCAGCACAGUAAGAGCUUGCUCUUACGGGUGGCGAGUGGCGGACGGGUGAGGAAUACAGCGGAAUCUACUUUUUCGUGGGGGAUAACGUAGGGAAACUUACGCUAAUACCGCAUAAGACCUACGGGUGAAAGCAGGGGAUCUUCGGACCUUGCGCGAUUGAAUGAGCCGAUGUCGGAUUAGCUAGUUGGCGGGGUAAAGGCCCACCAAGGCGACGAUCCGUAGCUGGUCUGAGAGGAUGAUCAGCCACACUGGAACUGAGACACGGUCCAGACUCCUACGGGAGGCAGCAGUGGGGAAUAUUGGACAAUGGGCGCAAGCCUGAUCCAGCCAUACCGCGUGGGUGAAGAAGGCCUUCGGGUUGUAAAGCCCUUUUGUUGGGAAAGAAAAGCAGCAGGUUAAUACCCCGCUGUUCUGACGGUACCCAAAGAAUAAGCACCGGCUAACUUCGUG